rnacentral:lncRNA from 1 species
GACGUGUCUCCUCUUUGGCACCGACAACUCUGACACCUCAUUGCUUGCAUUUGCAUCUUCAUUUGUUUCCUUCCUCAAAUCUCAAACCCAAUUCAGCUCUUCAUUCCAUGCACAUGGAUGCUAAACCAGCUAGACAACACGUAUUGAUGACAUGGACGAAUUUUGUUCCUAUCUGCAACAUUUAACAAUUCUGAUUCAACAGCUUGAUUAAAGUACUGUUUAGCAUAUGAUAUAUUAGUAUAAAUCAUUUGGAUAUAUCAAUGUAAAUGGAAAGAAAAUUCCAACAAAAAAUGAAAGCACAGACUUCAAGUACAGCCACAUGCAUUUCCAAAUGAAAAC